AUUUCGAUUUUUUAAAGGGUAUUAUAUUGAAUAUAUAAGAGUAAUAUAAAUUGAAAGUCUUUAGAUA
rnacentral:tRNA from 1 species